AUACUUACUUGAACGGGGUCGAUGGGUGAUCAACAAGACCCAUGGCUUGGGCUUGUGACCUCCAUUGCACUUUGGUGGGGUGCUUGCCUAAGGUCGGCCCAAGUGGUUGAGCCUAUGUCAUAAUUUGUGGCUGAAGGGGCCGGUGUUUGCGCGGCCUCUA